CCAACCUCCACAUUCUCUAAUAAUUGGCUCAGCCAAAGCUUCAAUUUUCUACAUUCUCUCCUGCUCACCUUCUAACAUGGCCACAGGGGGUUCCGUGGAGGCUGGAAACGUGACUUACACUGAUGGAGUGCACUGAGUCUGCAGAAUUUGUUUGCAACUAAAAUGCCUGCCCUGGACAUGUAACAAUAAAAGUAAUUAAAUCUGA